GAAUAGACCAAUUUCCCCGCCAAAUUCUCAGCCUUAACGGACUCCGGGGAGAAGCUUCAAAGAGAGACUAACAAUGGAGGAGAGUGAGAGGGAAAUUAGAAUCAAAACCUUAACCGGAGAAUCCAUGACUGUUUCCGUCUCCGGCAACAGCACAAUCGAUGACCUCAAACUUCUACUCAGGCGGAAUUUCCCCUCCGCAACCAUUUCCCCCAAUUUCCACCUAUUUUUCAAGGGUACUAAAUUGAAACCACAGAGUCAAAUUAGUGCGUGUUGCAUUGACCAUGGCGAAUUUCUAGUUCUCAUUCCGUUUAAUAAAAAGGAGUCUUCCAAGUCUCGGCUACGUGAUCAAUAUGAACUAGAGUUCAGUGUUUCGAGCGGAACCUCAAUUUCUCAAUUCGCUGAUUCUGCAUGGUCCGAUAUGGUGCAGGAUUUAUCGUAUUUACAUGGCUGUUCUGUUGAAGGGAGGGAGGAAACUGUCUCUGAGAGUGAGAGAGCGAGUUCUGAAGUCGGAGAGGUGGAUGCUGAACUGGAAGCGUGUUGUAGUACUAGUUCUUUGAGUUCAAAAGCCAAAGGAAAACUGGGUUUUGGUAAUGAUGGGUUGAAUGGGAGUUUAGAUGACGUUUUGAGGAACUUUUCGUUGUCUCCUACUGAGGGGUUUCUAAAUGAACAAACCUGUGAAAGCUUUAUUAAGUUUUUGGAAUCGGUGGAUUGUUUAACAGACCCACGUAAUGGGAAUUGUAUGUUGGCAAAACAAGCUAAUUCACGAAGUGGUAACAAAAGAGCUCCAAAUAGCACACGUGGUUCUUCAUGUCUAUGUCCAACAUGGUUGAAGAAGAUAAUGAAGGCAUUUUCUUUCUUGAAUGUUUUUUCUAUGUUUCUUCAACUACAAGAGGAAAUUAUGACUGUAAGUCGAUUGGAGCAAGCAAUGGACCAGCUGCAGAAACGUAGAAUUAUGUUUUGUAUGGAGGACAUACAUAACCUCUCUCGUCUGUGUCCCAAGGCAGUACAUUUUGCAAGUGGCAUAAUGGAAGAUACUCGUGUUCAUAAGCUUAUCAUUAUUAUUUAUUUGACCGAAAAAAAUGGUCGACCAAAAAAGGACAUUGACAAUACUGUGUCAAUGGAUGUCACUCCACUGAAGAGACGGGAAAGAUCCUUUAAAUUUUAUCUUUGGGAGGCAAUUAAGUGCCAUAUGCUUAAACAUGGAAGCGGAAGAGAGAUGUGUGUGCCUUUUUCUUUGGAAGCUUUAAUCACAUCAAAUGAGACAGAUGUGGAUGGAAGUGAAACAAAGCGAGCAAAGAAAAGUGAUACGGCUUCUUCAAGUUCUCAAUCAGAACGAAUACGAUGUCAUGAUACUUCAAAACUCUUGCCUGAGAAUAUGGUUGAACAUCUUAAAAAGAGUGUUGGACCUGAGGGCCAGAUAGUGCACGUCAAUGAUAUCUUGGCUAGGAAAGCUAAUUAUGUGGAAAUUCCGAAGGAACUUUCAAAUAGUGUUGUAUCGGCACUCAAAUGUAUUGGAGUAGCAAAAUUGUAUAGCCAUCAGGCGCGGUCAAUAGAAGCCUCCCUAUCUGGAAAGCAUGUUGCUGUUGCUACAAUGACGUCGAGUGGGAAAUCUCUUUGCUAUAACUUGCCAGUUCUUGAAGCAAUGUCUCAAGAUGUCUCAUCGUGUGCUCUUUACUUAUUUCCUACUAAGGCCUUAGCUCAAGAUCAACUCCGAAGCUUGCUCGUCAUGAUGAAAGGAUUUAUUCAUAACCUUAACAUUGGCGUUUAUGAUGGGGAUACAUCGCAGGCUGACAGGAUAUUGUUGCGUGAUAAUGCUAGGCUGUUAAUAACAAAUCCAGAUAUGCUACAUGUAUCAAUCCUGCCACACCACAGACAAUUUAGUAGAAUAUUAUCAAAUCUUCGGUUUAUAGUCAUUGAUGAGGCUCAUACUUAUAAGGGAGCAUUUGGAUGUCAUACUGCAUUAAUACUACGGAGACUUCGCCGAAUAUGCUCUCAUGUGUAUGGAAGUGAUCCUUCCUUUAUAUUCUGCACAGCGACCUCUGCAAAUCCCCGCGAACAUUGUAUGGAACUUGGAAAUCUGUCAAGCUUAGAGCUGAUUGACAACGAUGGAAGUCCUUCUGCCAGAAAACUUUUCCUCCUCUGGAAUCCUGUUAUGGCCUUGAAAAGUUAUCAGAGAGGUAUUGAUUCUCCUCAAAGUACAAAAAAGAACAUUUCAUUCAAAAAUCCAAGCCCAAUUAUGGACAUUGCAAGGCUCUUUGCCGAAAUGGUUCAGCAUGGACUUCGCUGCAUUGCUUUUUGUAAAACUCGCAAACUUUGUGAGCUUGUUUUAUGCUACACGCGUGAAAUUCUUAAGGAGAGUGCACCUCAUCUGGUUCAGUCUGUGUGUGCUUAUCGUGCUGGAUAUACUGCUGAGGAUAGGAGGAGAAUUGAGAGUGACUUUUUUGGGGGAAACCUUUGUGGUGUUGCUGCUACAAAUGCCCUUGAAUUGGGUAUUGAUGUAGGCCAUAUUGAUGCGACUCUGCAUCUGGGUUUUCCCGGCAGUAUUGCUAGCUUGUGGCAGCAAGCAGGCAGGGCAGGAAGGAGAGAAAAAACCUCUCUUUCUGUGUAUGUGGCAUUUGAAGGGCCUCUUGAUCAAUAUUUCAUGAAACACCCUGAAAAACUUUUUGGGAGCCCAAUUGAGUGCUGCCAUAUUGAUGCUGAAAACCAACAGGUUCUUGAACAGCAUUUGUUAUGUGCUGCAUAUGAACAUCCAGUAUGUGUGGCUUAUGAUCAGAGUUUUUUUGGUCCUGGCUUAAACAAUGCCCUAAUGUCUCUGAAAAAUAGAGGCGAUUUGAUUCCUGAGCCAUCAUGUGGCUCAUCCAAAAGUAUAUGGAACUAUAUUGGGCAAGAGAAAAUGCCUUCCCGCUCAGUUAGUAUCCGAGCCAUUGAAGCAGAGAGAUACAAAGUUGUAGACCAGCGUCGAAAUGAAGUUCUCGAAGAGAUUGAGGAAAGCAAGGCUUUCUUUCAGGUUUAUGAAGGUGCUGUUUAUAUGCAUCAAGGGAGAACUUAUCUUGUCAAAAGCUUGAAUUUGUCGACUAUGCUUGCUUUCUGUGAAGAAGCUGAUCUAAAAUAUUACACAAAAACACGCGAUUACACUGACAUUCAUGUUAUUGGUGGUAAUUUGGCCUAUCCUAAGAGGGCUCCAAAUAUUCCACCCCCAAAGACAACUGCACAAGCAAAUGACUGCAGAGUUACCACCACUUGGUUUGGUUUCUAUCGAAUACAAAAAGGAAGCAAUCAAAUUCUUGACUCUGUGGAUCUCUCACUUCCAAAAUAUUCAUAUAACUCUCAGCUUAUUUAUUUUUCCUGGCAAAGCUGAACAGGCAGUCUGGAUUCCAGUGCCACAAUCAAUAAAAGAAGAGGUGAAAAGGAAAAACUUUGACUUUCGUGCAGGCUUGCAUGCUGCUUCACAUGCCCUUCUGAAUGUCGUGCCAUUGUAAGUCUUGUGUUGUAAUGUGUUUAAUUUUCUUUAAAGGUAUCCCUUUUGGACCUUGUAUUGCCGAUCAUGUAAAUAUAGCAGGUUGUUGUAAUGAGCGCCUGCAAGAAAAGGGGGUCAGCGGGUUAACAAGCUUCUCCUCAACCAUCUACCUACAUCCUCUAGGUGGGCCCUAUUGAUACAAAAUGUACCCAAGACAGAUUCUGUUCUGAAACUGUAGAGAGGGGACACCUUUGUAGAUCAUGGUCCUAUGCUGCAUGCAUAGCAUGGACCAUUGAGGGAAUCACAGAAUAAGAUAUUUGGACAAAAUCCAUGGUAUUUAUCCUACCUAAAGUUACCGACCAAGCAAAAAUUUGAUUUUCUUCGGGGUUUGCAGGGUAAAGAUAAGAAAGGCAGAAGGAUGUGGAUUAGACAAUAUAUGUGCAAACAGAGAUUUGGUGAAUAUGUAUAUCAUUGAAUUCCUUAGAUUAGAAAGUUGAAAAGUUUCUGACAAAGCAAAUUUAGUUAAGAAAAUAUCUUAAUAUCUUGAGUGACUGGAAGUGUUGGGUGCCAAUGAAGAUAAAAUAUCUAUGCGGGCCAACUUAAUUAGAGUCUCAAUGCAGCUGAAAGGAUGCAGAAAAGGAGCUCGUAUACACAACUGCUACCUUGGUGCACCUUGACAUGGAAACCGGGGGAGGUGAUGAGACAUUUAGUCUUCCAAAAAAAAUCUCCGAAAAAUUGAGCUACCAUUCGGAAAGAAAUCCUUUUAUUUCAACUGUUGGCUUCCAGUCAUGAAGGAAUACAGAAUUCCAUGCUUGUGGGUAUUAAUUGCUUGGCGAAGAACAACUUGAUCUAACUGAUACGUGGACAUGGUUUGGGUGGUUUGAGAGGAAAAGCAAGAAUCACACGAAUGCAUGCCAUCAAAGCAUUACUAAGGGUAUGGUUUGGGAGAAACAAUAGUAUAUGCAAUGGUAAGGUUAGCUGUUGAGGAGAGACCUUUGAUUUGGCCGAAUUCCCAUGUUCUUCUUGAUGUUCACUUUCUUACUCGUUUUGCAACUUAAUCUCUUCAAUUAAAACAUGUUAGCUCCAACUGAGCAGAUUUCUAACUUGUCUCCUUAAAAGUUGGAGUUUCUACCCAAUUCAAAGAAAUUAUAAAGAGAAAAAAAACCUUCAAAUGUAAUCCGCUCUUUUCUUAAUCCUAUAACAUAUAAGUUUAGUAGUUUUUCAAUUUCAUCUCAUCGUGUAGUCUCCUACAGACGCAUAAUAUGCAACAUGUCAGACUUGGCUCCUGAAUGUGCAAAUCCUCAUGAUACUCGCUAUUUUCCAGAAAGAAUUCUAUUGUAUGAUCAACAUCCUGGAGGAACUGGUAUGUCUCUGCAGAUCCAACCCGUUUUCAUAGAGCUGUU